rnacentral:rRNA from 1 species
CCUACGGGAGGCAGCAAUUAGGAAUCGUGCGCAAUGGGCGAAAGCCUGACGCCGCGACAUCGCGUGGAGGAUGACGGCCCUCGGGUUGUAAACUCCUUUUAUCAGGGAACAAGUUCUGAGUGUACCUGAUGAAUAAGUGCCCCCUAACUACGUGCCAGAAGGGUCGGUAAUGCGUAGGGCACAAGCGUUAUCCGGAUUUACUGGGCGUAAAGAGAAGCGUAGGCGGUAACUUAAGUCACUUGUCAAAUCUCUCGGCUCAACCGAGAAACUGCAAUUGAUACUGAAUUACUUGAGGUAGGUAGAGGAGAGGGGAAUUCCUGGUGGAGCGGUCAAAUGCGUAGAUAUCAGGAGGAACACCAAUGGCGAAGGCACCUCUCUGGGCCUAUCCUGACGCUAAGGCUCGAAAGCGUGGGUAGCGAAACGGAUUAGAUACCCUAGUA